ensembl:lncRNA
UAUCAAUAAAUCAACAUUUUAUUUUCUUGCAUCCUUAGGUCCAGCAUUGGAUAGUGAUUUAGAAAGAUCUGUCAUCUCUCCUAUUGAAGUAAUAUGUGAUCAUUAUUUGCAACUCUUAAAAUAAUUUUUAUGAUUUUUUUCUAGCCUCCAUCCAUGUCUAUUGUUUAGCAUGCAAUAGACACUUUCUCUUUUCUUCUUGAGGAUAUGAGUUAUAGACUUUUUUUGUCUUUUGUUUCUUUCUUGCAUUCUCUCAGUAUCUUCUGAUUUUUUUUGUUUCUUAUUUAUUUGUUUUAUUCUUUGUUUUUCCUGUUGGAGGCUUCACUACUGGUGGCAGUCAGAUAAGUUUCAACUGCUAAAGAAUUCUCAGAGUACUGGUAACUAUAAUGCUUAGGAAUCUACGGGUUAUUGCAAGAAAAGAAUGCAAAAUAGCAGCAGCAUUGAAAUAAAAGAAACGCAUCUCAACCAAAGAUCUGCCUCACAGCAUAGAUCAGGAGAAGCCAAGAACUAGCUCUUACUGUCCUCCAUCUGCAGGACCACAGCGGAGGCACUGUUUCCUCUCAAAUCAGAACCACCAAGAUAGGCACAGAACACCCUGAAACCAGGGAACCUAAUGUAGGCACAUUCUUGUGAAGUAACCAGCCCCAGUGGUAGAGCCCUCUGGAAGUCUCACUUAGACCAGGUGUAAACCAUCAUCUCACUGUUAUCAAUAAACGAUGCUCACAAGCUGGUACAAACUACCAGAAACUGCCCUUUGGCCCCUCGGUUGAAAAGCAACACUAUUAAUCAGUACAACUCACGCCUUGACUAGGAGUCAAUACUGUCUUGGCACAUCUCUCACUUCAGCAAAACAGCUCAGACCAAUUCCAGGCACGCUGGGAUCAACCCUCAGACCAUAGCUUUUCUUAAAUAAAACUGUGCAACGAAAACACUGACUGAAACUCUGGAUACACGUGCAUGGCUUACCUCUGACUCUUGGUGAACAAGCAUUUUCAUCGGGGAACACCAAACGGAAAUUUUGGAAACUUCAUUAUCCGAGGCAACUUAGACUCUCUAGGAAAGGUUAUGAUCCGCGAGAAGCCGGAAGUCACAUAACUACCCAUCGGGAAACCUCUCGCGGGACAGCAAGGCCUGCCGCGAGACGUCGUCGGCCGCCGCUCUGCGCUCGUCCUGGCGGAAACCUGGCCGCGGGAACUCACAGCCCUGUCGUUUUCGUGCGCUUUCCGUCCUACAUCUGGAAUGGAGUGACUGCUGUGGCAAUUCCUGGAGAAGAUUUUUUAAUUGUUGCUUUUGACAGUUUGGUGAAGGAUUUUCAAUUCACAUCUGGCCCCAAAUGUUAUAAAUUAACAGACAAAACAAACAUUGGAUGCGGCGGUUUUCAUGGAGCCUGAGGCUGACAAGGGUUAUUGAAGCAAGACUAAAGAUGUAUACGCAUUCCAGUAUUAAGGCGUGACUAGGGGAGCUGUUGCUGUGAUGCCGUCUGCAAUCCUCUCUCCCAGGUGCUUCUUUCCAUACUGUUUGCAACAUCUUCAGGGUGAAGAAGUAAAGGGAGUCAUGUACAGCUUGGACGGUGUCAGGGUAGGGUGUCUGUUGGUUCACGGUCCUGGGAUUUCCCAGGUGAAAUUCAAAACUGGCCUGUGUCCGUGGAGAGCAAGGAGAGACUGAAGAAGGAGGCAGACCACUCCAAAUUGAUAAUGUGGCAAAUCAAAAGAUACGUGAAGGACAAUCUUCAUGAUAGCUACAAAACGUAGCACUAAGCCUCAAAUUUUUGCCGCACUCUUCCAUAGAACAGAAAGGAAUUUUUGUCAGAAUUCUGUCUUACCAUCUAUAGCCUGCUGGUUACAACACAGUUCCUGCACCACAAGCAGAGCCUCUGUGUUCCAGGCAGAUGAAGGGCCAAGAAACCUAGAGAUGACCUCCCGUUUAU